CCCGCCGAGUUUAAGCAUAUCAAUAAGCGGAGAGAAA
rnacentral:rRNA from 1 species